UUAAGCGACUAAGCGUACACGGUGGAUGCCCUGGCAGUCAGAGGCGAUGAAGGACGUGCUAAUCUGCGAAAAGCGCCGGCGAGGUGAUAUGAACCUUUGACCCGGCGAUGUCCGAAUGGGGAAACCCAGUGCAAUCCGUUGCACUAUCGUUAACUGAAUACAUAGGUUAACGAGGCGAACCGGGGGAACUGAAACAUCUAAGUACCCCGAGGAAAAGAAAUCAACCGAGAUUCCCCCAGUAGCGGCGAGCGAACGGGGAGCAGCCCGGAGUCUGAAUCAGCUUGUGUGUUAGUGGAACGGUCUGGAAAGUCCGACGGUACAGGGUGAUAGUCCCGUACACGAAAAUGCACAGGUUGUGAACUCGAAGAGUAGGGCGGGACACGUGGUAUCCUGUCUGAAUAUGGGGGGACCAUCCUCCAAGGCUAAAUACUCCUGACUGACCGAUAGUGAACCAGUACCGUGAGGGAAAGGCGAAAAGAACCCCGGCGAGGGGAGUGAAAAAGAACCUGAAACCGUGUACGUACAAGCAGUGGGAGCCUCUUUAUGGGGUGACUGCGUACCUUUUGUAUAAUGGGUCAGCGACUUAUAUUCUGUAGCAAGGUUAACCGUAUAGGGGAGCCGAAGGGAAACCGAGUCUUAACUGGGCGUUAAGUUGCAGGGUAUAGACCCGAAACCCGGUGAUCUAGCCAUGGGCAGGUUGAAGGUUGGGUAACACUAACUGGAGGACCGAACCGACUAAUGUUGAAAAAUUAGCGGAUGACCUGUGGCUGGGGGUGAAAGGCCAAUCAAACCGGGAGAUAGCUGGUUCUCCCCGAAAGCUAUUUAGGUAGCGCCUCGUGAACUCAUCUUCGGGGGUAGAGCACUGUUUCGGCUAGGGGGCCAUCCCGGCUUACCAACCCGAUGCAAACUACGAAUACCGAAGAAUGUUAUCACGGGAGACACACGGCGGGUGCUAACGUCCGUCGUGAAGAGGGAAACAACCCAGACCGCCAGCUAAGGUCCCAAAGUCAUGGUUAAGUGGGAAACGAUGUGGGAAGGCACAGACAGCCAGGAUGUUGGCUUAGAAGCAGCCAUCAUUUAAAGAAAGCGUAAUAGCUCACUGGUCGAGUCGGCCUGCGCGGAAGAUGUAACGGGGCUAAACCAUGCACCGAAGCUGCGGCAGCGACGCUUAUGCGUUGUUGGGUAGGGGAGCGUUCUGUAAGCCGUUGAAGGUGUCCUGUGAGGGGUGCUGGAGGUAUCAGAAGUGCGAAUGCUGACAUAAGUAACGAUAAAGCGGGUGAAAAGCCCGCUCGCCGGAAGACCAAGGGUUCCUGUCCAACGUUAAUCGGGGCAGGGUGAGUCGACCCCUAAGGCGAGGCCGAAAGGCGUAGUCGAUGGGAAACAGGUUAAUAUUCCUGUACUUGGUGUUACUGCGAAGGGGGGACGGAGAAGGCUAUGUCAGCCGGGCGACGGUUGUCCCGGUUUAAGCAUGUAGGCGGAGGUUCCAGGUAAAUCCGGUACCUUGUUAACGCUGAGGUGUGAUGACGAGGCACUACGGUGCUGAAGUGAUAAAUGCCCUGCUUCCAGGAAAAGCCUCUAAGCAUCAGGUAACACGAAAUCGUACCCCAAACCGACACAGGUGGUCAGGUAGAGAAUACCAAGGCGCUUGAGAGAACUCGGGUGAAGGAACUAGGCAAAAUGGUGCCGUAACUUCGGGAGAAGGCACGCUGAUAUGUAGGUGAAGUCCCUGCGGACGGAGCUGAAAUCAGUCGAAGAUACCAGCUGGCUGCAACUGUUUAUUAAAAACACAGCACUGUGCAAACACGAAAGUGGACGUAUACGGUGUGACGCCUGCCCGGUGCCGGAAGGUUAAUUGAUGGGGUUAGCGGCAACGCGAAGCUCUUGAUCGAAGCCCCGGUAAACGGCGGCCGUAACUAUAACGGUCCUAAGGUAGCGAAAUUCCUUGUCGGGUAAGUUCCGACCUGCACGAAUGGCGUAAUGAUGGCCAGGCUGUCUCCACCCGAGACUCAGUGAAAUUGAACUCGCUGUGAAGAUGCAGUGUACCCGCGGCAAGACGGAAAGACCCCGUGAACCUUUACUAUAGCUUGACACUGAACACUGGUCCUUGAUGUGUAGGAUAGGUGGGAGGCUUUGAAGCGUGGACGCCAGUCUGCGUGGAGCCAACCUUGAAAUACCACCCUUUAAUGGCUGGUGUUCUAACGUAGACCCGUAAUCCGGGUUGCGGACAGUGUCUGGUGGGUAGUUUGACUGGGGCGGUCUCCUCCCAAAGAGUAACGGAGGAGCACGAAGGUUGGCUAAUCCUGGUCGGACAUCAGGAGGUUAGUGCAAUGGCAUAAGCCAGCUUGACUGCGAGCGUGACGGCGCGAGCAGGUGCGAAAGCAGGUCAUAGUGAUCCGGUGGUUCUGAAUGGAAGGGCCAUCGCUCAACGGAUAAAAGGUACUCCGGGGAUAACAGGCUGAUACCGCCCAAGAGUUCAUAUCGACGGCGGUGUUUGGCACCUCGAUGUCGGCUCAUCACAUCCUGGGGCUGAAGUAGGUCCCAAGGGUAUGGCUGUUCGCCAUUUAAAGUGGUACGCGAGCUGGGUUUAGAACGUCGUGAGACAGUUCGGUCCCUAUCUGCCGUGGGCGCUGGAGAAUUGAGGGGGGCUGCUCCUAGUACGAGAGGACCGGAGUGGACGCAUCACUGGUGUUCGGGUUGUCAUGCCAAUGGCACUGCCCGGUAGCUAAAUGCGGAAGAGAUAAGUGCUGAAAGCAUCUAAGCACGAAACUUGCCCCGAGAUGAGUUCUCCCUGAGACUUUAAGUCUCCUGAAGGAACGUUGAAGACGACGACGUUGAUAGGUCGGGUGUGUAAGCGCAGCGAUGCGUUGAGCUAACCGAUACUAAUGAACCGUGAGGCUUAACCUU
rnacentral:rRNA from 2 species